UACGUAGGGCGCAAGCGUUGUCCGGAAUUAUUGGGCGUAAAGAGCUCGUAGGCGGUUUGUCGCGUCUGCUGUGAAAACCUAAGGCUCAACCUUGGGCUUGCAGUGGGUACGGGCAGACUAGAGUGCGGUAGGGGUGACUGGAAUUCCUGGUGUAGCGGUGGAAUGCGCAGAUAUCAGGAGGAACACCGGUGGCGAAGGCGGGAUCCUGGGCCAGUACUGACGCUGAGGAGCGAAAGCGUGGGGAGCAAACAGG
rnacentral:rRNA from 1 species